UUGGAGCUAAAUCACAAAGGAAAUAUGUUAUGAAAUGUGAUGUGAGUUGUUAUAGUGUGGACUUUAUGGAACCAUAAGAAUCAUAUUGUUUUAUAGAAAUGCAUAAUACCUCACCUUGGAGAGAUAUUUAGUGUAGCCCAAGUGAAAUAGACAUGAUUGAAAUAUAAAAAUACAAAAGUCAAGUUUAUUUUCUCUUAUC
rnacentral:lncRNA from 1 species